UUUCACUUUCAUUUUUUAACAAAAACAGAGAGAGAGUCUCUAAGAUUCUCUCAACACUCUCAGCCCUCAGAAUUUGGCGAGGACCCAGUCACCGGAGCACCAGCGGCCGCCGCCGUGCACGGCGGUAGGACGCCCAAAGUUCGUCGCCUUUCGGUGAUUUCAAAGGUACACCUCUUUUUCUUAUUUUAUUUUCGUGUUAAAAAGAAACAAAACAUAAUAAAUAAAUAAAAAAUGGAAAAGAACAAUCGGGGAAGACUAAAAAACAACUCUCAAACUUUCGUUUUCUGUUUGUUUUUUUUAUUUUCGUUUUUAAAAAAUUAAAAAAAAACAACAAUGAAAGUAAAGAAAAAGGAAAGAUUCAAGCAAAAAAACUAGGAAAUCACCUUAGUUUUUUUUUUCUUAGUGUUCGUAAAGAAAAGAAGAAGAGCCAUACAAGGAAGAGAUUUUCGGCUUUUAUAGCCGAUCUACACAACUUUUAAUUUCUAUUUCUUUGUGUUUUUGCUAUUUGUUUCUUCCGUUGUUGCGUGCCUUUUGCAUUCAAUUUUUGCAGGUGUCAGAGCAUACGGAGGAAAGGCGGCUAGGAGCGGCGGUAGCCAGGCAUGGCAGAGGAGGCGAAACGGCGUUGAGGCUGGAGCCUGGGCAUGCGGGGCAUGCGGCGCAUGGAGGCUUGGGGGCUAGGGUUUGGUACUGCUGAAUGGGGUUAAUUUUUGGGCUAGGGUUUCUUAAUUUGGGCCUGUUGGGUAUUUUGGGCCACUGUUUAUUUUGGACUGUGUGUUUUUUUGCUGGUAUUGGGCUUUAGUGUUUUGGGCCCCGGGCAAAAUUUGGGUUUUACAUGAGUAGUUUGAUAUUCUGAUUCAAUCUUGUUCCGAAGAGCUUCAGUAGAGAUCUCGUCCAGGAGGUCCUCGGCAUCAUAAACAGCAUCUUUGAGCUCAUCGGUCCAACUUUUGACAUUUGGGUUGGCAAUCUGCUUAUUUUCAGCAUCAUCCAACACUGCUUUCACCGACAUCAAGGUUGGCUUGAGUUUCUUCAGUAGCACAACUUCAAGUUUCUUUCCUUUGAUAAGCCUCAGAACAUCGGCAUAAACAAUCCUAUCAAGCAGCACCUCAAUGGAAGCAGAGAGAAAAGCUUCAGCCACCAUAGCCAUGUUUUUUUGUGGGGUUUUUUUCGGUAAAUAAAGGUUUAAAGGAAGAUGAAAAGGGAAGUAAUAACAAAGAAAGGAAAAGAAGAGUGCUUCAACUAAAGAGAAGACACGAUUGCAAAGAUGAAGGAUUUGGAUUUGAAACAGAGAAAGGAAGUGCAAAGCAAAUAGUCAACAAGGAACAGUAGAAGGAUUGGAUGAAAGGGGAAGGCUUUAACUCGCAAAUACUUUAGUUUCAAUAAAUUUGUGUAUAAAAUUUCUUUAUUGGAAUGUUUGAAAAAUGAUUUUGGGUUGAAAAGUAUGGAAAAUUAAUGUAUUACACAAAUGAUGAAAUAAUAUGGAAAACAACAUAAUAAUAUAAAAAUAUCUUGAAAUUUAUAUUUAUAAAUUAAGUAGAUUUUAUUCCUAAGAUUGCAAAAUUAACAAAUCCUUUGUAAUUUGUCUUUUUUAUUUUAAAAAAGGGGUAAAUUAAUCCUCGUACAUUAAAUUAAGAGUAAAAUAAUUAUUCUGUUAAAAUUUUUAUCCAUUUAAAUUAUUAAAAAUUGGUCCUAGUAUAUCAACAUGAGGUAUAUAUGGUAUGUCACAUGUCAUUAUUCGGUUAUUUUAUCAAUCAUAUCAAUUUUUAACAGUACAAAUGGAUAAAAUUUUUAACAAAAAAAAGGAUUAAUUUGUUCUUUGAUCUAACGUAUAAGGACUAAUUUACUCAUCUUAUAUUAAAUGGGACAAAAUAUAAUCUAACUCCUAGUAUAGAGAGCUCCAUAAUAUUUUACGGUGCAAAUUAUAUAUUAACAUAUCAAAAAAUUUAUAUAAAUAUAAAAAUACGAUACAUAUCCAUAAAUUCUUAGAUCUAAUAAUAAUAGCCAAGUAGUUUCAAAUAAAUAAAUCUUAGAAUAAAGAAAUGAGAUUAAUAUUCAUAAAACUAGAUAAAAAGAACAGUAAAGAACUGAUGCCGCCUGACUAAGUGACGGCACCCUCUUAUUUAUUUCAAACCAAAAUACAAAUUUAUUUUAAGAGGAUACGAAAUAAAACAAAAUAAUAAUAAUUUUUUAUUAGUGCGGCCCAGGCGGCAACCUAUUAUUUUUAAAAGGAAAAUUGUUUUUUGUACUCUCCUUAUGUAUAUCCAUAGGGAACUCCCAUAAGCCAUAAGCCAUUAAAUGCUUCCAUCGAGUAACCAGUUCAUGACAAAGGACACCCACCGAGGACAGUGUAGCCAUAGAGCCCCAGAGCUCCAACCCACUAUGAAAUAUCCAACGCCAGUGAAGCACCAAUCACACCCCAAUCCAACACAUUUACGAACACCCAACUCGUCAACACAUUCACCCCUAAAGCACAAAACGAGACAUAGGCUAACACCCUAGUCUUCAACUGGCUUUGCAAGAACCUUUGUAAUGGGAACUGAAACGCAAAGCUAAAGUGCAAAGGUAUCAACCAAAUCGCCACCACCCCCGACAUCUCCCCCACGUCGUCCAGCUGUCCGAAUAGCUUUAAAACCGGGGUAGCAAAUACGUAAAUGGGUAACAACAAAGGAGUAAAACGAUCCAAGAUCUUUGCAUGUAAAGGCCGAACAUGUGGUAUUGUUUAGCACCAAAAGCUUGUCCACAAAGGGUUUCUAAAGCACUCGCCAUCCCUAAUUAUAUUAAAGUGAAAAAAAAAACCUAAUGUUAAGAGACAAAUAUGGUAAAAAGAAAACUAAUGGAACAAAAAAGAAAGUCUCAUCUAAUGAAAAUUUACUAUGAGGCCAAAGUUGAAGCCAACGAUGGCCGUAUUGGCUAUUGAAAUAGCUACAAGUUGAACAUCACCAAGGUGACCAGCAAAAGCUUGGGUUAUAAUGUUCAUGGAGUAGAAGCAACAGGAGUUACAGGACUGAUGAUUGAAGGUCCUACGAUGACCCAUAGCUUCUUUGUUUCGAUCCAUAGCCUUGUACUUAAGUCCUUCUUCCCCAUCUUCAUCUCUCCAUUUAUUUUCUUCUGGUUUUGAUUCUUCAUGAUUUGAACCUGGUUCUGUUAGUAAAGGUUGAUGGUAUUCGCCACUGUUCCCAUGGAUACUAUCCAUUAGAGACAAAGUUAAAAUAAUAGACUAUGGGCUAUCUUAGAUUUGCUUGGGACAAAAAAAUUUUUAAAAAUUAAUAAUAAUAGGGUGCGCCAGGCAAGUUGCCAACCACUAAUAAAAAAAUAUUUUUUCCGAUUUAUUCCACAUUGUAAAAAUUUUGUAUUUUGGUUUAAAAUACAGAUGCUGCUAAUUGAUGAAGUUGCGUCUAAAUUUUUUUUUAGAAAUAAAGGGGUGUCACCGAUUAGUCAGCGGCACCAAUUGUUUAUUAUUGCUUAGUUUCGUGAAUAUUAAUCAUCUUAUCCUAUUUUGGUAUUUAUUUAUUUAUUUUAUAUUAUUUAUGUAAAAAAUACCCUAUAGUAUCUGAACUUGAUUAGAGGUUCAGAAACAAAAACAGCACUAGUAACCCAGAAAUACACCAAUACCCAGAUUAGAGCUGAUCUUGGCCUGGCCAGGCUGAGCUUCAAUAGAAUUUUAGGUCUAUUUUUUAGGCCUAGAUACGACUUGAAAAUGGACCUAAAAUUUUGCCUAAAUUUUCUCGAAUAAAAAUGCUAAUAUCUAAGCCUAGCCCGACCACCCGUAUUAAAAUUGUUUACAUUAUUAUUCUUAUAUAAUACAAAUUUAAAAAUAUAAUACACUAAAAACAUUAAAAUAAAUGUUCCCCAACAAAUUUAAAAUAAAUUUAAAAAAUAUGUACAUACUUAAAUAACACUAAAAUAGGUGUAAUUUAGCAAGCAAAUGCCUAUAAAAUAAUAGCAAAAUUAACAAUAAAACGAGAGUUAUACAAUAUCUAAAUAAUAACAAUAAAAUAGUAACAAUAUAAUAACGAAAUGACAACAAAACAAUGACAAAACAAGAGCAAAACAAUGGCAAAAUAGAAUUAGUUAUUUUUUUGCAAAUUUAGGCCAGGCAAAAAAAAAAAUUACCCAAAACCUAACUCAUUUAGAAAACAAGCCUCAUUUUUUGCUCAAGCUCAUUUUGUGGAUCUGUAUUUUUACUCAAAAUUUCCCACCUUUUAUACGAGCCUUUGUGCUGGCCAAAUGACCCAACUCAUAAUCAGAUCUAAGACCAAGUGAUACUAUAUAUAUAUAUAUAUAAAACAAACCAACUUUAGCAAAUGUAGGUCAGAUAUUUUAGCACAUUAUAAGAAAAUUUGCCUUUUAAGGCAAUGUUUAAAACAUAAAGUUUACUAUUGAAAUUGAAACAUAUUUAAAUAAAAACUAUUGUUUUAUAAAUAAAAGUAUCAUGAAAAUCAAUUAAAAUAUUCAAAAAAGUCAAUUUUUUUUAAAAAAUUACCUGAUUAGGCCUGGCACACGGCCGUGUGGCAUCAACAGUCAUGUUUUUCAGCAUCCGAAAUUCACAAAAACUCGGGUUUUCGGUACGUAGAGGAAGUAAUUUUGAAGUAAGAGCAACGUAAAAUACUCCCGAAGCCUAAAGCGACCAUUCAAUAACAAAAGACCUUCUAGCGGAAAAAGAAUACUCAAUUAUGCAUAGAAAACUAUGUCGAAAGUUUCGACACAAGACCUUCAACAACUCCAGACUUACCAACAACAUCAACAGUGAUUACUCGAGUUAUUGCACUGAGGAUUGUUGCUUUUGAUAUCCUCGCCUAAAAAGAAGCCAAAAGGUCCCUUAAAAGAAGGUUUAAACAAUUUGAGUUGGAAACAACUCAGACAAAAAUGAAUGAACUACCGUAUAACGGAAGUUCUAUGAUUAACGAAAUAGACAAAAUGUGCGGACCAAGCAACAAUUGGAUGAAGAAAAAAAGGAAAAAAGAACAAAAAGAAAUAGAUGAAAAAAAUAAAGAAGAAAAGGAAAAAAAUAGCAAUGGAAAGGAAGAGGGAACGCUUAAUUAAUCUAACCAUCGAUCAAAAUUUCGACAUUAACCAAAAACAUUACCUAAUGCAUACGCAGAGACUCAAAUACUAGACCAGAAAGUAGACAGAUGCUUAGCCAGUUAACCAGCAGGCUCAUUCUUGACUGUGAAAAAAUAGAACGUCGAUAAUGACAAUGUAUCACAAAGAAAAGAGAAAGAAAAAUAAAGAACACACAGAUUUUUAUGUAGAAACCCUUUUGAGAAAAAAAACUACAGGUAAAGGAGAAGAUAAUUCACUAUGUCGAAUUCAAAUGAUUAUAAGAGGAGUAGACUAUGUCUAUUGUAAAACCAUAUUAUAAUAGAAUGAGUGUAGUAAGGUUGAAACAUCUUAUUCUAAUCAAUAUCGAAUAUAUGAAGUGUAAUAAGGUUGAAAAACCUUAUUCUAAAAUAAAAUAAAAGAAGUGUAGUUCUAUAUGGAUUUUACUUUUAUUUUAUUUUACCACAAUAUUUUAUUUUAACAAGGAUUCGGGUCACUCAAUUCUAACAAUCUCCACCUUGACACGAAUUCUCAAUGAAUAAUUUCUUCACCAUGAACUCUCAACGAAUAAGUUCUCCACCUCUUCUAUGAAACCCUUUAAGGGGUAUUUUUCAACAAUGAACACCAACCAAGUCUAAACAAUGCUCAAACUUGGUUAUGGGAAGUGACUUAGUCAUCAUAUCUGCAAGAUUUUCAUGAGUACUAAUUUUGCUCACAAUACCACCACGAGUAAUAAUAUCAUGAACAAAAUGAUACCGAACAUUAAUGUGCUUUGUUCUCUCAUGAAACAGUUGAUCUUUUUAAGCACUCAUUUACAAUGAACAACCUUUUUUCCUUUAGGAAGUUUCACAAGAGCUCAUGUUUUAUUUUUGUUGAGUUAUUCCAUCUCUUUUUGCAUAGUAAAUAUCUACUUUUCUGAGUCUUCACAGCUAACCGCUUCAGAAUAAUUAGAUAGAUCUUCAUUUGCAUCUAUAUCUUUAGCCACAUUUAAAACAUAAGUAACUAGAUCAACAUCGAUAUACUUUUUUGAAGGUUUAAUCUCUCUUCUAGUUCUGUUUUUGAUGAUAGAAUAUUAUGGUAAAGAAGUAAAUCUAUUCUGAAUUUCUAUUCUGGCUUGAGGAGUCAACUUUGUUUUAGAUUCUAGAUUAAUCUGAUGCUCCAUCUACUUUUGCUGUUCUUUAUUAGAAGAGUCUUUAAGAGAUAAGUUAGGUAGCAUAACAGUUUGAUUAAAAACAUCUCUAUUAAUCACAACUUUUCUAUUUUCAAGACACCAUAACUUAUACACUUUUACACCAGUUUUAUAACCAAGAAAAACACAUUUAAUGGAUCUCGGUUCCAAUUUUCCAUUAUCAACAUGAGCAUAUGCAGGACACCUAAAGAUCUUUAAAUCAGAAUAAUCAGCAGGAUUACCAGACCAUACCUCUUGUGGAGUCUUUUUCUCAAUGGCACUUAAUGAAGACCGGUUGAUAAAAAAGCAUGCAGUAGAGGCUGCUUCGACUCAAAAUGACUUUGGUAAGUUGGUAUUCGAUAGCUUACAUCGAACCUUCUCCAUAAUUGUUCUGUUCAUUCAUUCUACAAUGUCGUUUUGCUGUGGAGUAUGACGAACUAUCAAGUAUCUCAUGAUCCCUUUUGACUUGUACAAUUCAUUAAACUCAUCAGAACAGAACUCUAAGCUAUUGUCUGUGCGAAUGUGUUUUAUUUGAUUUCCCCUUUAUUUUUCAAUCAUAGUUUUCCAAGACUUAAAUGUAGAAAACACAUCACUUUUCUACUUUAGGAAAAAUGCCCAAACUUUUCUGGAAAAAUCAUCAAUAAGUGUUAGCAUAUAAUUAGCUCCACAUUUCAAAGGCACACUAGAUGGCCCCACAAAUCAGAAUGAAUAUACUUUAACAUUCCUUUCAUGUUGUGGAUUUCUCUGCUGAAUCAAACUCUCUUUUGCUUCCCAAAAAGGCAAUGCUCACAGAACUUUGGUUUGCAAAUUUCUUACCCAUCAAGAAGUCUUUUUUUGUUCAAUUCUGUCACACUAUUCUCAUUCAUAUGCCCUAGGCGCAUAUGCCAAAGUCUAGUAACAUCAUCAUCUGAUAAGGAAGAGGAAGCGAUAGUUGCAUCACCAAUAAUCGUAAAACCCUACAAAACAUAUAACUUGACAGUCUUUCUUUGUCCUUUCAUCACAAUAAGGGAACCUUUGAAAUUCUUCAAAACUCCUCUUUAUGUUGUAUAUUUGUACCCUUUUGAAUAAAAAGUACUCAACGAAAUCAAAUUUCUCUUCAAAUAUAGAACAUGACGCAUGUCACUAAGUGUUUUGACAACUCUGUCAAACAUCUACUUUUCUUAGUCUGCAGAGCUAACUGCCUCAUCUCUUCAUCCGUCAAUGUCAAAGGCAUUUUAUCUAUCCGUAGCAGAGCAUCCUCUAAGUCCAUCUGCGCAAGAAUUGUCUACAUCUUUAUCUAUCACAACACAAAUCUGGUUUUCUAAUCCAAUAGUGAAAUUUCAUACCUCAAAGAUGUCAUUACCAUGAUUGAGAUGAACAACCUGGAAACUCUGAUACCAAUUUGUGAAAAAAUAGAACGUCGAUAAUGACAAUGUAUCACAAAGAAAAGAGAAAGAAAACUAAAGAACACACAUAUUUUUAUGCGGAAACCCUUUCAAGAAAAAAAGCACGGGUAGAGGAGAAGAUAAUUCACUAUGCCAAAUUCGAAUGAUUACAAGAGAAGUAAACUAUGUCUAUUUAUAGGCUUGUAAAACCAUAUUCUAAUAGAAUGAGUGUAGUAAGGGUGAAACACCUUAUUUUAAUUAAUAUAAAAUAGAUGAAAUGUAAUAAGGUUGAAAAACCUUAUUCUAAAAUAAAAUAAAAGAAGUGUAGUUUUAUAUGGAUUGUACUUUUAUCUUUUUACCAUUGUAUUUUAUUUUAACAAGGAUUCGGGUCACUCAAUUCUAACAAUCUCCACAUUGACACGAAUUAAAUCUAAGUCAGUGGCCCAAGAGUAGAGAUUAAUUAAAAUUAAAUUAGAAGAACUUCUAAAGAUGCAACUUGAACUCCUGACCUCAACCACAUAAACAGAGCACAUAACAACAGAUACAAAGACUUAAUUACUAUAGAAUCCCACAAAUAAACAUUCAAAUUUUUAGGGCGUUACCCAGCAUAUGGAUUAUGUGUAACACCCCUAACCCGUAUCCUUCUCCAGAAUAGGGUUAUAGAGCAUUACCGGAGUUUACAAAUUAAUUUUCAGACAUUUCAUUUCAUCAAGCAUUCAUAUUUAUAACCAAUCAAAAUCAGAACAUUUAUGAGCUAACAUUGACUAAUUUAACUUAUACAAGUCAUUAUAACCAGAAUCAAAUCAUCCAAAAUUACCGAUAGAACCAAUGGAUAAUGUAAUAUAUCUUCAACAAGCUUCCGAUAAUCAUUUCAAAACAUCUAACAAUUAUACAUAGUACCAAUAAUAACUCAAUUCCAAUAAUAAAACACAAAUAUAUAAUAUUCAUUACCAAAUAGAAUUCACUUUAAUUAAAAUUAUACAAAAUAUAGUUCAUACGAACUUAACAGACUAAAUUGCAGAAAUACCAAAAUUCAGGGGCAUUUUGGAAAGUUUCUAUUUUUCUCGAAUUUCUACCCAAUUUUGAUCUAAAUUAAUAUUUCAUUCAAUUUACUAAUUUAAAUAAUAAAACAAUUCAUUUCAUGCAAUUUGGUCACUUUUUUGACAUCUUUACAAAUUUACCCUUAAAGUUUCUCAUUUGUUCAAUUUAGUCCCUAAACCUAAAACAUGUAAAUUGGUCAUUUUUAAUGAAAACUCAUGCUAGUUGAAUAAUCAUAUAUUUUCCUCCUCCAGACUCCAUUCCACAUCCUUAAUGUAUAUAACAUGCUUAUAUGUAACAUUAUCUAUAAUUUCACCAUUUAUUCAUAUAUUCAUUCUAAAUUGUCCACUUGAGUCAUAGUCACUAAAUUAUUUAUAUCUUGAGCUAUAGAACUAAAAAUUGAGAUCCGUUAAUUUUAUAUGAAACUAGACUCACAUAUCUUCUUACCAUAAAAUUUUCAGAAAAUUUAGUUCAGCCAAUAAGUACAGUUUAUUCUUUAAAUUCAUCCCUGUUCUGCUGUCUGACAGUUCCGACCCUUCUUCACUAAAAAUUAAUUAUUUCCUCGUACAGAAUUCGAAUGAUGUUACCGUUUGUUUCUAUUGAAAAUAGACUUAUUAAGUAUUUAAAUAUAUAAAUUUAAGUCCAUAAUUAUUUUUCUCAAAUUUUUUAUGAUUUUCCAAAUUCAGAACAGGGGAACCCAAAUUCAUUCUGACCUUGUCUCACAAAAUUUAUUAUAUCUCAUGAUUUACAAUUCUGUUACUUAUUAUAUCUCAUGAUUUACAAUUCUGUUACUUACACCGUUUCUUCUAUGAGAAACGAGACUCAAUAAGCUUCAAUUUCAUAAUUUUUUUAUCCUCUAAUUCGAUUUUCACAAUUUAUGGUGAUUUUUCAAAUUUAACCUACUGUUGCUGUCAAAAACUAUUUUAAUGCAAGAUAUUGAUUACUAAGUUUAUAACUCCCUUAUUCCCUUUCUCUAUAAUAUUUCCCAUCACUUUCACUUAUUUCCGUUCACUAAUAUAUCAAGAAAAUAAGACUUUAUAUAAGAAAACUCUACUAGAACAUCAUUUCUAUGCUUUUUCAAUAAUAUCAAACUUAAAAACAUAUUGAAAUCUUGAUGUUCUUACCUUGUCCUAUUGGUUUCAAUCUUUAACUUGAUUUUCUCUCUCCUCCAGCUUCUAUUUCUUUAAUCUAACUUGAUAUUCUAGCUCCCCAUAGUCUUCUUGUUAUUUUUCUCUCUUGAUGGCUAUAAAAAUUCUUUUGAUUUCUAGGUGAAAAUAGUAAAUUUUUGGAGGAAGGACCAAAUUGUAAAGAAAGCAAAACUUUCUUUCUUUCUUUCUCUCAUCUUCACGUUGGUGCAUGGGAAGAUGAUGGCUUGGUUCCCUUUUUCAUCUUUUUUUCCACAUAUAUAUAUUUUAAAUAAUAAAAUAAUAAAAUAUCAUUAAAAUAUUAAUAAACUAAUAUUUAUUUAUUUAUUUAAUCUAAAAUAUCUCCAACAUCAUCAUUAUCUUCUAGAUUACUCUCUCUUCUAAAUGACCAUUUUGCCCUUCAUGAUCUUUUAAAAUUCCAUCCUUGAGUCAUCACUUAAUUUGGAAAAAUUAUGAUUUAAUCCCUCAUAAUUUUUCACCUAUUCAAUUAGGUCCCAAUUCAUCCAUUUUCUUUAGUUUCUAGAUUAUUCCACCCUUAAAAUAUUUACACUAUUGGUCCUUCAAACUUUUCAUAUUUACACUUUAACCCCUCAAAUUUUAAGUAUUUACUCUUGGGCAACAAAACUUUUCUCACUUUUGCAAUUUAAUCCUUUCUUGAAUUAAUAUGUCAUAAUAUACUUUCCAAUGUUGACAUAACUCAAAGUUACCAUUUUUAUCACUUUAUUUCCUUAUUUACUAUAUCAGGAAUAUUAUCUUAUUUUUUUACUGUAGUAAAUUUUUUUUUGGGGUAUUACAUUAUGAGUCUAUAUAUACACACAUAUCUACAUCUCACAUGCUUAAGAAAAUAAGAGAAAUGAGACUUUGGGUCUAGAAACAAGCGUUUUCUAAAAUUUGGCCUAUUCCUUUAAGUUUUACAUAAAUAAAGCUAUUCAUGUAAAUUUUUUAAUUUUUCGACAUUUAUUAGUAAACUAGUCAAUGUUUUUAAUCAUGAAUAUAAUUUUGGGUUUAUAUGAAAUAUGCAGGGCAAGAUAGUAAUGUUAUUAUUAUUGUGUAUAUAUAUUAUAUAUGCAUAUCAAUGAUUUUGAGGAUUAAUUCAUGAUUAUAGUAGGUGUUCAUAACCAUUAUUCAUUGUUACGAUGAUUUGGUGCAAACUCAUGUAAACUAUAAUACAGGUUUAAAGAAUUUGGUUUUUCAAGUUUGAUUUUAUAAUAUUUGGUUUUGGCAUUUUAUGGUUCCAAAUAUUUGGUCAAAUUAUGAUAUGAUUUACGAAAUGAAUUGUGAGAUAUACCAACUAUUACAAAAUUUGGGUUAAGAGUUAGAUUUUGGAAUUUCAAAUUUUAAAAUUGAAUAUAAAACAUUAAAAAAAUUGUAUUAUAUCUUCUUUCACACUUCCUUCAAAACUUAAACAAUAAAUAAUAAAUUUUGUAACAGCCCAUUUUCAGUGAAAUCAAAAUAGUGGUUUCGAGACCACAAAUUCGACAUGAAAAUAUUUAUUUUUAUUAAUAUUUUAGUGUCUACAGUAGGUUAGUAGUGUCGUACAAAAAUUUUGUUAAGAAAUUUUGACGUUUGCAUCUUAAUUAAGUAAAAAAAAAGGAUUAAAUCGUAAAAGGUGAAAAAGUGCAGUUCAAUUAGAUAAAGGCAUUAAAUUGCUAUGAAAUUUUAGUUUGAGUGACUUAAAUGAUAAUUAAACCAUUUUAUGAGUUAAUGGACAUAUAUGGACAUCAUUUUAAUGAUGUUAAAGGUUUAUAAUAAAGGUUAAUUUAGUAAAUAAAUACAAAUUAAAUCAAUUAAAAGAAAACUAAAUGUCUAUCUCCUCCAAGUUCUUUCUCCACCGUAAUUUAGAAGAGGAAGAAGCCUUUUUAGGGUUUUUCCAUUCGGCCAUAGUCUAUCCUUGCAUGUAAGUGCAAUUUUGUCCCGUUUUUAAUUAUUUCUAUGUUUUUGAAGUCAUUAUAGCUUAAUCUUGCUAGCCUAGGGGCUAAUACGCAAAAUUGUUAAAAGUAUAGGGUUUUGCCAUGAAUUUCCUAGCUUGAUAUUUGUAGUUUAAUGAAAUAUUAUGAAUUUUUGUUGAUAAAUAAACAACUUUUGCAAAGUGAUUUUUGUUGAAAAUGUCAAAUCGAGACUUGAUUGUAAAAAUAGUAAAAAUGUAUGGUGAAAUUGUGAAAUAAUGAUUUGUAUGAAUUAAUAUGUGUUCAUGAAGAAUUCAGCUAGCUUGGGUUAGGGAUGAAACUGCAUGAAUUUCAAUUUACGAGCAUAAAGACUAAAUUGUAAAAAGUUAAACUGUUAGGGGUACAAUUGUAAGUAUGCAUAAAUGUGAUUUGUGGAUUGAAUUGAAUAAUUGAGUUUGAUUGAAACACUUAAUUGAAUAUUAUUAUUUAUUUAGAUUAAGAUAAAUCUCAACCAGAUUUAAAUUGAGGAAAGGCGAAAGUCACAGAUUAACUUGAUUGUACUCCUACGCACUAGUUGCCAAUGUAAGUUCAUAGUAGUUAAACGUAUAAUUGAUUUUCCAUAUGUAUUUUUACCUUAUAAAUAUGUAAUUAAAUGUUAAUGUAAAUUAUAACCUAUUUGUACUUCAGUACCUCUGAUUGCACAUACGUGCCCUUGUUCGUACUUCCGUAUCCUUGAUUGCACUUAUGUGCCCCUGUUUACAUUUUCGUAAUUUCAAUCAAGUAAAAUAAGAAUUGUGUUCAUUUGAUGCUAAGUUUAAAAGAUUUACUAUGUUCUUACUGAGCUUUGUAAGCUUAUAGGUUUUUGUGUAUCAUUUUGUAUAUUGUUAUUGCUAACCUUUGGACGGAUCGAAUCUUCAGCUCACACUAUCCAUCAUUGUUGGUAGCUCUUAAACUCUUUAGGGUUGUGGCAUGUAUAUGUGGCUAUUUAGUUUGUUUUGGUAUAAUAUGGUGAAUUACUAAACUAGGUGAUUAGGUACUUUUCUAUGUUUGUGAAUAGAUAUCUUUUGGUACAAAUAGAAUGUUAUGAAAGUAAACACUUAUGGAUUGUUUUGGUUUGUUGAUGGAAUAAGUUGUUAUGUUUGGUUUAUAAAUAUGGUAUAUUGGAUGGUGUGCUUUUGGCACUUUGAUGCUUAAUGGAUUGUUAUGGAUAUGAUCAAUUUGGUAUGUCUGAAUUGUGGUUAAUUAUGAAAUGAUUAGGUAUGUUUUAUGUAUGUGUUUGAGUUGUCUAUAUGACGUAUUGGUUAUAUGGAUUAUUAGCUUAUUGUAUGGAUAUUUUUUUGUAGGUUUUGAGCAUGUUUAUGAGUUUUGAUCAUGUGUGCAAAAGUGCCUAAGUUUAUGCUUGUGAAGGAUAAAAGAAAUGACUUGAUUUUAGUCAUUUUCUUGUCCACACAGCCAAAGACAUGGGUGUGUGUCUUAGCCGUGUAUGACAUACGGCCACGUGAAAUGGUCGUGUGUCCCUUAUAGGUUUCAAAGGGUGGUAAGUCAGGCAGUUACACAGCUUGGCACAUGGGCGUGUUAGGCCAUUUUGAUAGUUACACGACUUGACACACGGGUGUGUGGCUUGGCCGUGUAGCCCAAGUCAGAGAGAUACACGGGCACAAACACAGGCUAGGACACGGCCGUGUGUCCCUACUUUUAAUGUCCACACGGCCUGAGACAUGAGUCGUGUGAGUUACACAGCCAUGUGACCCCUGCAGUAUGAAAUUUUCUAACUAUUUCCAUAUUCUUUCAUAUGUCCCCAAUUUAGUCCUGAAUCAUUUUUAAACUAUUUUUAAGGCCUCAAGGGUUCAAAUAAAGGAUGAUAUGUAUGUGUUUGAACAAGUUAUGAUAUGAUUUAUGAAAUGUUUGCAAACAAAUUAUUUAAGUUGCAUAUUUACAUUAAUGCUCUGUAACCUUAUUCUGGAGACGGAUACAAGUUAGGGGUAUUACAAAGUUUACUGAUAAUAUAUCGAUGAAGUUCAAGGGUUUCAAAAUUGGAUUGGUAGGCAAACUAUAGACCACUAGUUCAUGGUUUAACUGGUUCAAUCGAUCCAAUUGAUUCAAUUGAAUAAAUUAUUAAAAAUAAAAAUAUUUAAAAAUAAAUAAAAUCAAUUCAAUUGUCAAUUUGAGUGAGUCAAUUGGUUUAACCAGUUCAUGAGUCAACCAAUUUGACCUUUUAUUCCAAACUAGUAUCUCGAACGAUUCCCAAUCCGAUCGAUUUGACCAGUCAAUCCGAUUUGGUUCUUAAAACAAUAACAAAACUUCAUGUGUUUAAUUUAAUACAUUAUAAAUAUGCUAAAUUUUCAUUUAUAUGAUAAUUUUCACAAUUUUAAUUUAUAAACCCUAGACUUUUAAUUAAAAUCUAAGUAAGUACAAAAAAAUUUAUAUGAUUGAACUAAUUAGGCCACCAGUUUGCUAGUCCAAUCGGUUUAAUCAGUUUGACCGAUACGAUCGGUUCGACCAAUCUACCUGAUUCUAUUAAAUAAAUCAUUAAAAAAUCAUAAAUAUAAAAAUAUAAAAAAUAUUAUUUUAGUUCAACCGGUUCAACUGCAUAACCAAUCGGUUAGUAUUGAUUCCUGGGACAGCUCGUUUAAUGACUUUCGUCAAACAAGUACUUUGGCUGAUUCCCAAUUCGAUUGGCCAAACUAAUCUUGUUCAAACAAUAAUGUUCAAAAUCCUCCUAAAUAAUUAAAUCUUAAAGAAAAAACAUUUUUAAAACUUAAAAUUAGUUGAAAUCCAAAUCAAUAAAUUUAAAUCAAUUCAAAAUUUUAAAUUUCAAAUAUUUUUAUUACCAAAUAAAAUAUUUAAAAAUAAUGAAAUCAUAAAUUUCGAACUUAGAAAUUGAUAUUUCAAUUCUCAAACAAUAGCUAAUAGUUUGGACGGGUUUGCAGCACUCACAAAAUCAUUUAAUACUUAGUAACACAAGAAUGCACCUUAAUUGCUCUUUUUUUUUUUUAACCAUGUUUUUGGUUGUUUACAAAUAAUUUUGCAUAAAGAAAAAAAAAUCAUAUUAUAGCAUAACCAAUAGUAUUAUUCUAAAUUAGAAAAUCUUAUUAUAAGUGCAUACGUGUAAAAAUUACAAAUUUAGAAUAUAGAUAUAUGUUUAAAAAUAUCAUUUAAUAAUAAAUAAUGAAACUUAUGGUUUGAAACUAAUUAAUCAUAACAACACAUGAAAUAUAUAUGAUACUAAAAUUAAAAAAUAAAUUAAAUUAUGAGUAAAAUGAAAUUAACCACAUACAUACAUCAGAUAAAUCAUAAUUAAUUUUAAAUUAAUUACACAUUGAACUGGAAAAGAAAAACCGUUCAUAUCCUUUUUCUUUUAGUUUUCUUUUCCAUUUUGAUUGAAAAAAAAAUUUAUUCUCAUCCUAGUUAGACAUCUAAAUUGGCAUUUAAAACUCAUUUAGACCGCCACGUAGAAUUGCUUUUAGGGAGGUAACGGAGCUUAACGGCAGAAUGAGUACUACUUCGUAACAAAACGAUAACAUAAGUAACUAGAAUGUAACAUUUCAAACAUAAGUGACUAAAAUGUAAUAUGAGGAAAACAAAAGUGACUAUUUUUGUCGUUUAUCGUAUUAUUAAUUUUUUAUUUAAAAUUUAAUUUAAUUAGAAUUAAAUUAAAAUAUAAUUUUUUUAGCAAAAUUUGAUUAAUAACUUAUCCCUACUAAUUAUUUGAUUGUUAAAAUUCAAACUAUUUAUGCAAAGUUUUUAUUUUUAUCCUAAUAAUUAUUUUUGAUGUGUGUAGUUAACGUUGAAAACCUUAAUUUUCCCUGUUAAUUACUUUACUAUGAUUUCAGUCGUGAAUAUGUUAUUUUGAAUUUUACGUCAUCAGUCAAUCAGACUUUAUAAUUUAGUUGUCAAAAUUCAAAUUAUUUAUACCAAGUUUAUAUUUUAAAACACACAUAAGUUAUUACUUCUUGAUCAUAGGUCAGAUUGAUGUAAAAUUUUAAGUUCGAGCUCGGCUCAGAAAAUGAGUUUAAAAUUUUACUCAAGCCCAACCUAAAUUAAUAAUGCUAAAAUUGAGCUCGACCGGGUCUUCCCAUAUUGAUUUUUUUUAGAUUUUUUAUAUAAAAACAAAUUUUAAAAAUAUAAUAUAUCAAAUGUAAACACCCUAUACCUGACCUAGACAUUACGGUCAAAUCAUGGAGAUUACAUCUAACGAAUGGAAAAUUCAAUUGAACAACUCUUUUUUGAAAACACAAUGAUUCUCCUAAAUCGUAGCUUAAUUGUGUUACUAACAUCAAAAGCAAUUUACAUGAAAACAUUUGCGUGCUAACAAAAAAAAAACAUUUUGAGAGAAUUUCAGUUAAUCUUACAGUGAAAAACCUUAUAGUUUUUUAUAUAUAAAAUCGUGGUUCAUUUUUAAUUAUCAUAGGUUAAGCGUUUUUAAUGACUAAAGCCUUUGCUUAGUAAAUAUCAAAAUAGUCCUAACUAAACAAAAAUAAAAAUGUUCAAAACGAAAUAAAAACCCAAAACAGUCAAAAAAAUGUCCAUAAUAACAAAUAAAAAGUCCAAAGUGUUUAAACUAAAAUGUGUAAUUCGAGCUCCAGAGUCGCCAUCUAAUCCUAAGUCGAAAGAUCACCUGAAACAAAGAAAAACAUAGGCGUGGGCUUUAAGCCCAAUGUGUGAUUUGGCCCAUAAUUUCAAUAAUUUCAAUACAAGCAAUCAUCAAUUUGUUUCAUAGCAUAUCAGGCUUCAUAACUAGACAUAUUUUAUCAUAUCAUAUCAUAUCAUAUCAUAUCAUAUCAUAUCAUAUCAUAUCAUGUCCUACUCCCAUCCGCUACAUAUUGUCUCCGUCCAGCCAAUCAUACCAUAUAAGACUACUAGAGUCCAUCUAUUUAGUCACUUCAAUAGGUAGCAAUGUGCCACUUAUAUAAUUGCAGUUGAGCUGCUAUACAUAAAUUUGUGGUCUAGCCGCCACAAUUAUAGUAUAAACUAUCAUAUAAUGUAACACCCCAAACUCGGCCUAGACGUUAUGGUCAAAUCUGGCGUGUCACAUUGAAGUGUCUUUCGAAAAGUAGACUUGUUGGUAACAAUUCGUUUCUAAGUUUAAAACCCCUUUAUUAGUGUUUAACAAAACAUCUAGUCAAACGUUUACCUUGUUAUCUACUUUAGUUAUAAUGGGUUGAUUUUAAAUCGCGGCAACUUUUGAAAACUCUGAUCAUUUAAAUUUAGUAUCUUUGAAAAUAGUAAUUAUUUUGAAAAUUCGUCUUCUCUUAACCUAGUAGUUUAAGGUAAAUAAGCAAAAGCCCAAUUAGAAAUUCAAACAAACUUAAAGGCCUUAUUACAAAAACCAACCCAACAUAUAAUUUAAAUUUAAAAUAAAAGCAACUGUAAACAGCAGCAGUUGUGUGGCCACCUCCGAGUCCCUCGCAGCACUGAAUCGCCUAUAGCUGAGGAUUACCUGCACAGUUAAAAGGAGAGAGUGAGUUUACAAAACUCAGUGUGUAAUCCUCUACCAAACAGUCAGUAUACAACAUGCAGUAACAAACUGAGCUUGAGCCCUAUUCAGUAACAGUACAGUGAGGGCCUUAGCCAAAUACAGUAACAGUGUGGGCCUUAGCCCAAUACUGUAUCAGUACAAUGUAAUAAUACAAAUCAUCCCAAUCCAGUCAACAUACCACUCCGUACCACCAACACACCAUGUGGGGAUAAAAUUGACCCACCCAGCCAACACACCAAUAUCGCAGUAAAAUUGCCAGAAGUAGCAUCGCAGCAAAGCUGCUAGUAACAGUAUUGAAGCAAAGCUGCCAGUAACAGUAUCGCAGCAAAGUUGCCAGUAACAGUAUACUCCCUCCAUUGCAGUAUCCCAACCCCAUGCAAUAUGUCAUGUCAUAAAUCAUACGUGUAUGCAAAAUAUCGUAUUCAAUCAUAGUCAUACAUAUCAUAUAGCAAAUCGGUCAUACAUACAUAAGGCCAUAACAGUCAUUUUGACUCUUAGGGGUAUAACAGUCAUUUUACCCUAUGGGGGUAUUUCGAUCAUUGUACCCUAUGGGGGUAUUUCAGACAUUUUACCCUAUGGGGUAUUUUAGUCAUUUUACCCUAUAGGGGUAUUUCGAUCAUUUACCCAGAAAUGGCAAGUUGGGCUUAACACUCGAGCGAUCGCACGCCUGUGUGGUCUCAAACGUCGUAUUUAUGGCUUUUUGGUUUCUGCCGUUCUACAGUUACAGUAGGGUGUUUACACACAUAUUUAUGAGAAGAGCGCAAAUCUCCACGUACACCAACCUAUAUUCAAACAUAACCUAAGUCAGUCCUUUAAACACUAGGGUAAAACACCCUCUUAUUAACAAUUAAUCCAAAACACCAUCCUUACCUUGCUUGAAAGAGGGCGACUUUACUCCUCCAAGACCGCCAACCAAAAGUGGUCACACACUUAUCGAUUAUCUGCACCACAGACAGUGAUCUUAAUAACUAAGUUAGGCUAUAUAAGUGGCCAAGAAGGGUAUUCGGUUUUAAGAAAAAGAAUAGAAGAGAAUUGAUUUAAACAAAAAGUGACAAGUAUCAAUACUUUACCGAUAAUCAAAAACACUUACAGCACUGGGACAGCAAAAGCAACGAGGAGAAGAUCGGCGCAGAGAGUGAUAGAACAGAAGGGUGAUAUUCGACUGAACCACACUCAAUAAAAGAAGAUAGCUCAUGGUCAAAAGGAAAAUAAUGGAAGGUAGAAAUCAAAAACAGAAAGAGAAAAAUAUUCGGUUAAAGAAGAAAAGAAAAAGAGAAAGGAGAUUCGACCAACAGAGAAGAGAAGAGGGGAAAAGAGAAUGAAAGAUUCGGCAACAAGAGGAGAGGGAAAGAGAGAAGAGCAUUCGGCAAGCAGAGAAUAUGAGAAGGAAAAAGUAGAAAAGGAAAGCGAACAAACCCGAAAGGUAUUUUAAAACUUGGCAAAAUUCAGUACCAAUAACUAAUAGAUGAAACACGAAACUGACCGAAACCAAAAUAGACAGAAGAAAAACAACCUCAAACAUCGAUUACCUCAAUGGCUAAUGACCAAAUUCGGCACAAGCAUACCCCUAGCCGAAUUCUCAAGCUAGAGUUUCCCCAAACGGCACAACUCUCCUCUCAAAUAACUCCUUGAUUUUCUCCUCGUAUCUAUCCCCUUAUCCCUCAUUGAAUCACUCCACUGAUUUCUCCUCAACUCCUCCAACAAGCCAUUCAAAUUCCAUUCAAACUCCCUUUAGCUGUGUUUCAGUCCAACUCCGCUACCUACACAGCUCAAGCAGCAAAAUAAACACUCCAUUGCAUAACUCAGGACUUGAACCUCAGACCUCACAGUCACACAACACGCCACAUUGCCACCAGACUACAAGCUCUUUUUGUGUCAUAAAACAAACACUAAUAUUUAUAAGGACUAAAUGCCAAUGUCCAGAUUCAUUUAAGAGUAAAACUAAAAAUUCUGCAAAAACCAAGACUUGAACCCAAGCUUCUCAAACACUCCCAUACACACCCAAAUCACUUAGCCAUUAAAGCAAACAAGCAAUUUGCGUCAAAUUAUGCAAAAAUCAAAGACUUAGAUUUUUGGGGCGUUACAUAUAACACUUCUUCCAUUAUAUCAUAACCCACCUCGAAACACAAACAAAUCAUAAUCGUAUAACAUACUUAAAUAUAUAUAUAUAUAUCAUAACUCAAUGGCAUGCAUACUUACAUAUUGUCAUACAAAUCCUUACAUAGCACAUGGUUAAAUGGAACAUUUCCUACUUAACAUACCUCCUAAACUUAUCUGUAUACUUUUACGUACUGAUAUUUAGGCUUUUCUGGCCCCAUACGAUGCCUACGGACCCAGAUUUUGAGUCCCUCAAACUACCCCUAAUUGGGCCCUAAAAUUGGGCAAAAAGGCCUACGCAACCCAAAAAGCUAGCUCGUGUGGUCUAUACGGCCUACCACACGAUCUGCAAAGUUUUACACGGACGUGUGCUCCACACAACCAAGCCACAUAGGCUGUAAGAUUUCAUAUGGCCAUGUGGUGCACAAGAUUUACCACACGGCCUAGCCUAUGAUUAUGUGGCACUAGCCAAUUUCGAUGAACAGCCCCUAUUUUACGAAUUUAACGAGUUUCAAUUCAAUUUUUUGGUUAUUUUCACACACCUGAUUACGUAGUCAACUAACUUCAAUAACGGGAACUCACAAACCUACAAUUACGCAACAGUCGUACCAACAAUAUGUCAAAAAACAUCACCUUAAUACAACAAAAUUAUAGCCCUUAAAAUGACAUUUGAGUCCUUACCACUUGGAAAAUAGCGACUAAAAUAGAACUUAAUCCAUUGAAGGGAUUGGAUUAUCGGUUCCUUUGCCUAAUCAACACAAGAACAUUUAUCACCUUAAGCAAAAAAAAAAUUGAAUCAAAAUAACAGAAAAAAAAGGUACAAGAGGGAGAGGGAACAAACGGUUCUAGGAAAAGAGGAAUAUAAGGAUUUGAUAGACUUAAAAUAAAAUAAAAUAAAAUAAAAAUAGCAAGUUUUAAUUAAUCCAAACCCCACACUUCAGAUUUAAUAGAGUUUAACUAAACUUUAACACCUACGAGAAGCCCAAGCAAAAAGUAAAAUGUAAUCAAACACUUAACCAUUAAACCACUAAACCCAUCAUUAUUAUAACCCAACAAAGAAAUUGAUUUAAGCCCUAAGGUUCAAACUUAACUUAAAGUAAAAAUAAUAAUAAUAGAAAAUCUCAAAACUAGAUAAUUGAACUCAGGACCUAAAACAAACUUUUAAGACAGUUAACCAACGCUCCAAAUCAAAUUACUUAACCAACCUACACAUUCAAAAACCCAAAAUUUGGGGCAUUACAUCAAAUGUACAUAUAUUUAAUUACGUAAUGAUAUUUAAGCUUUUCUGGCCCUAUACGAUACCUACGGACCUAGAUUUCAAGUCCCUCAAAUUGCCUAAAAUUGGGCAAAAAGGUCCAUGCAGCCCAAAAAGCUAACUCAUAAGGUCCAUACGGCCUACCACAUGGUCUGGAAGAUUUUACACGGACGUGUGCUCCACGCCAAGCCACAUGGGCUGCAAGGUUUCACACGGCCAUGUGGUGCACAUGGUUUACCACACGGCCUGACAUAUGAUCAUGUGGCGCUAGCCAAUUUCGAGGAACAGCCUCUAUUUUGCAAAUUUAACGAGUUUCGAUUCAAUUUUUUGGUUGUUUUCACACACCUGAUUACGUAGUCAACUAACUUCAAUAACGGGAACUCACAAACCUACAAUUACGCAACAAUCAUACCAACAAUAUGUCAAAAAACAUCACCUUAAUACAACAAAAUUAUAGCCCCCAAAAUGACAUUUGAGUCCUUACCACUUGGAAAAUAGCGACUAAAAUAAAACCUAAUCCAUUGAAGGGAUUGGAUUAUCGGUUCCUUUGCCUAAUCAACACAAGAACAUUUAUCACCUUAAGCAAAGAACAAUUGAAUCAAAAUAACAGAAAAAAAAAGGUGCAAGAGGGAGAGGGAACAAACGGUUCUAGGAAAAUAGGAAUAGAAGGAUUUGAUAGACCUAAAUUAAAAAAAAUAAAAUAAAAAUAACAAGUCUUAAUUAAUCCAAACCCCACACUUCAGAUUUAAUAGAGUUUAACUAAACUUUAACACCCACGAGAAGCCCAAGCAAAAAGUAAAAUGUAAUCAAACACUUAACCAUUAAACCACUAAACUCAUCAUUAUUAUAACCAAACAAAGAAAUUGAUUUAAGCCCUAAGGUUCAAACUUAACUUAAAGUAAAAUAAUAAUAAUAAUAGGAAACCUCAAAACUAGAUAAUUGAACUCAGAACCUAAAACAAACUUUUAAGACAUUUAAUCAACAUACCAAAUCAAAUUACUUAACCAACCUACACAUUCAAAAACCCAAAAUUUGGGGCAUUACAUCAAAAGUACUAAAAAUAUUAAAAUAAAUGUUUCCCAACAAAUUGAGAAUACAUUGAAAAAGUCUUUAUACUUAAAUAACAUUAAAAAAUAACAUUGAGAUAGUUGCAACUUAGCAAGUAAGUUCCUCCAAAAUAGUAGCAAAAUUAACAAUAAAACAAAAAUUAUACAACAUUCAAAUAAUAACAACAAAAUAGUAGUAAUAAAAUAGUAAAAUGACAACAAAACAACAAUGAAAUGGCAACAAAACAAUAUAUUUGGUCAGGUCAGACUUAGAUCAAAAUUUAUUAAAUAUAUAAUUUUUUAUUAUAUGAUAUAAUUAGUGACUCAAUAGUUACUUAUGAAAACGCCCAAUUGAAUCUAAUUCACAACCUCUUCCAAUUUUUCAUUCCCAGAAAAUUGAAUUUUGUUUCUAAAUUCCCCCUCAAAAUCAUAAUGAUAGAUUUUUUUUUCAUAAUAACUUUUUUUUUUAGCUCCUCUUCAAAUUACUUAAAAAAUGGAUGGAAAAAUUAAUGUUGGUUAAUUUUGUUCAUAUAGUACCUACGUAUAUAUCACGUAAGCAAUUAAUUAAUAUUUUAAGUUAAAAAUAUUAAAAUAUGUUUUUUAUGUUUUAUAAUUUUUAAUACUUUUUUAUUUUUUUAAUAUAUAAUAAAAUAAUUAAUUGCUAACGUGGCAUUCAUGUGGCAAUCUACGUGUAUGUCAUGUCAGCAAAGUUAAUAAAAUGUUUUUUUUUCAUCUAUUUUAGUGUGAUUUGAUAAACAAUACAAAUUUAUUAACUAAAAAUAUGAAAAUCAAAAUGAAAAUGAAAAUAAUUUUUUGUUUAGGUUAUUGAAUCAAAUAAAUAAAUUAUAUAUAUAGACAUAUAUACACACACAUUUGCAUAUAGUACUAUGUGUUAUUUAGCUGUUAGUGGAACAUGUCUCAAAAUUAGUAGUGGGCAGUUUAUGGUUUACAGAUAAACAUGCAACAUCUAUGUUUCUACAUUGCUACAAAAUAACACGAUAAUGAAACCAAAAUUAACGUUGUACACAAAUGACGAAAUAAUAUGGAAAAGUAACUGUGACUUGAUGAAAUAAUAACAACAUAAUAAUACACAAACAUUUUGAAAUUUAUACCUACAAGCUCUCUAUUAAAAGUUUAAUUGUAUUUUAUUUUUAUUUAAAAAUGAGUAAAUUAAUCUCCAUACGUUAAAUUAAAGAGUAACAUGAUUAUUCUAUUAAAAAUUUUAUCUAUUUCUAUUAUUAAAAACUAGUCUCAGUACGUCAGCAUGAGAAAUAUAUGACAUGCCAAAUGUCACAAUUUGAUUAUUUUGUCAACUAUGUCAAUUUUAACAGUACAAAUGGAUAAUUUUUUUAAUAAACAUUAUCAAUUUACUCUUUAAUCUGACAUAUAAGGACUACUUUACCCUUUUAUUUUUAAGUAGAGAGGACAAAAUACAAUUUGACUCUUAAUACAGAAAUCUUCAUAGUACUUUUACUCUAUAAAUUAUAUAUUAACGUGUAAAUAUUUCAUAUAAAUAUGAAAAAUAGGAUACACAUACAUGAAUUGUUAGAUCUAAUAAUAAAAGCAAGUAGUUUAAAAAGGUAUUUAUUUUCCUUUCCAUUUUAAGUAAUUUUUUGUGUUUCCAAAUGAUUGAUGCAUAUCUACUAAUAAUAAUCUAUGAUUAACAUGUUAAGGUAUAUCUAAGAUACGAGUGUCAUAUAUAAAUACCUGAAAAAGAAAAAGAAAGUAAGCUGGGAUCAUUCACCAAUUUUCUUUUAUGUAAGUGAACAGAACAAACAGAGCAGUAGUACAUGUCCGUCAGCCAUUUCCUAGUGCAUGAAUCCGGAGAUGAUAAUCUAGAAUCACAUAAAUAUAAAGAAUUCACUUCUUUUUCUGCAAUUUAUUUAUACAUUUGGAAAUCCAAUUUCAUCUUCUCAAAUGAUAACUUAAAAAUGGUAAAGAGUCAAUAGGGUUAGUUGCGCAAACAAAUGUACUCGCAUGGGAAUCAAGUUCCACAAUUACAAUGAAAGACCUUCCCGUUGAAAGCAAUUUCAAAAGAAACCAUCCUUAGAAUUCAAUGAAUCAUCAAUAUCAUAGUAAGGAAACAUUAUUGUUGCAUGAACUCAAGAUUACCGGAGCCACUGAUUUCAUAUUGCAAAAUCCACAGACUUCAAAUCCUUAUUCUUUCUAUUCCUGUCUCUGAGGUAUCUAUUCUUUUCUUAUUAUAAUACAUUGUUUUGACUAUAUCACACUAUGUAUCAUUUAAUAAUUGAAUAGAUCCCUAUCUUUGAUUUAAAUCGAAUUUGUAAUGGAGGAAUUUCAAAUAUAUUUAGAACUAGAUAGAUCCCGCUGACACGAUUUCCUAUGCCUACUUAUUUGUCGGGAGUAUAUUUAUGCACUUGCUCAUGAGCUUAGUUUAAAAAAAUCGAUGAUUUUUUUUUAAAUCAGGGUUAUGGUAAUAAAUUCAGUUCACUAAUUGUGAAACAUUUAAUUCUUCAAAUAGAUCAACAAAAUCAUUUGAUUAGUUCUGCUAAUGAUUCCAACCAAAAUCUGAUUUUUGGGCACAACAAUUAUUUGUAUUCUCAAAUGAUAGCUGUAGGAUUUGUAGUCCCACUUAUGGGGUCAAAUCCAUACAUUUUGAGAAGAAAUAUUUGAAUAUAAAUCUCAUCGAUCUCAUAAGUAUCAUACCAAAUCCUAUCAAUCGAAUUAUUUUUUUUGAGAAAUACGAGACAUCUACGUCAUACAAGUAAAGAGAUCUAUUCAUUGAUAAGAAAAAUAAAAAACGUGAGCGGUGAUUGGAUUGGUGAGAAAAUAGAAUCAUGGGUUGCGAAUAAUGAUUCAAUUGAUGAUAAAGAAAGAGAAUUCUUGGUUGAGUUCUCCACCUUAACGAAAGAAAAAAAGAUUGAUCAAAUUCUAUUGAGUCUGACUCAUAGUGAUCAUUUAUCAAAGAAUGACUCUGGUUAUCAAAAGAUUGAACAACCGAGACCAAUUUACUUAUGAUACUUAGUUGACAUUCAUAAAAAGUAUCUAAUGAAUUAUGAGUUCAAUACAUCACGUUUAGCAGAAAGGCGGAUAUUCCUUGCUCAUUAUUAGGCAAUCACUUAUUUACAAACUUUAUGUGGGGCUAAUUGUUUUCAUUUACUGUCUUGUGGAAAACCCUUUUCGCUUCGCUUAGCCCUAUCUCCCUCUAGGGGUAUUUUAGUGAUAGGUUCUAUAGGAACCAGACGAUCCUAUUUGGUCAAAUACCUAAUGACAAACUCCUAUGUUCCUUUCAAUACAACAUUUCUUAACAAGUUCCUAGAUAACAAGCUUAAAGGUUUUCUUAUUGAUGAUAUCGAUAUUGAUGCUAGUGACAUUAUUGAUCGUGACCUUGAUACGGAGCUGGAGCUUCUAACUAUAAUGAAUACGUUAACUAUGGAUAUGAUGUUGGAAAUAGACUGAUUUUAUAUCACCCUUCAAUUCAAAUAACUAAAAGCAAUGUCUCCUUGCAUAAUAUGGAUUCCAAACAUUCAUGAUCUAGAUGUGAAUGAGGCGAAUUACUUAUCCCUCGAUUUAUUAGUGAACUAUCUCUCCAAAGAUUGUGAAAGAUGUUCCACUAGAAAUAUUCUUGUUAUUACUUCAACUCAUAUUCCCCAAAAAGUGGAUCCUACUCUAAUAGCCCCGAAUAAAUUAAGGCAAAGAGAGACGAUUUCGCGAGACUUAGCUUGGCAAACAAGUUGAUUAUUCGAGAUGUUCUGUCAUUGUUAUUGGCCCUUCACUUUUAUUACAUCGCUGUGGAUUGCCUCACGAAAUAGAAAUAGAGCUUUUCCAGACAUUUGUAAUUCGCGGUCUAAUUAGACAACAUCUUGCUCCGAACAUAAGAGUUGCUAAGAGUAAAAUUUGGGAAAAAAGAUCGAUUGUAUGGGAAAUACUGCAAGAAGUUAUGUGGAGACAUCAUGUAUUGCUGAAUAGAGUGCUUACUUUGCAUAGAUUAGGUAUACAAGCAUUCCAACCUAUUUUAGUGGAAGGAUGCGCUAUUUGUUUACACCCAUUAGUUUGUAAGGGAUUUAAUGCAGACUUUGCUGGGGAUCAAAAUGACAUUUCAUAUACCUUUAUCUUUAGAGGAACUACUAAGUACUUAUCAUUAAAAGGAACUACAAACAAUCAAUGUAUAAUGCAUAACACUAUAAGUUUAUGUACUCAUAUUACCAUCUUUAAAAAAACUCAAAUAAAGGAAAAAAAUAAAUUGACAAUAAUCACAGCAUUGGAAAAAAUUAAAAAAAAUUCAGAGAUGCAUCGCUUUAAUCAAUUUGCUAAUAUUUACAUCUUAGCUUUGCCAUCAUUAGAAGCCCUAAGAGAUUCUUUACAUCGUAUGCACAAAAAGUCAAGUAUUAAUGGCCUACCUUUCUCUACAUUUUAAAGUCCAAUUUUGCAAACACUCUCCUAACGAGGUUCUUUGAGUUCCCAAUAGAUUUGGUAGUGCCUUUACUUGAUCGGUCUCAUUUAUAUGUCAAAACAUGAUUAGAGACAAAACUAAAACCAUCACCACUUUCAGUGAAAACUGAAAACAUGGUAAAAUAAAAUCACCAAAAGAACAAGCGCACUGAAACUACAACCAUAACAGUUUUUUUUUUUAAACAAUGGAGUAAAACUAAAAACUAAACAAAAUUGUUGAAACAGUGGUGACCGGUAAGUAGCCCAGAGGUGGGUGUGGCUGCCGGCAAGACCAAGUUAUUAACUUUAAAUUAAGAAAAAGUAAGGUGGUAGUUGUAGGCCAUACAGUUUUAUUUGCUUUCGGUGGUGAAGCUCUGAUUAUUCAAUUCAUAAAUUAAUUGAAAAAAAAAAAGGAACAAAUUUGCAGCAAAGUCAAGAAAGUACAAGGAAAAAGAGAAUAGUAUGGUUAGCCCCACUUCACUUUAAAUUAAGAAAAAUAAAGGUAGUAGUCGUAGGCCUUUGCGCCUCCACUACAUAGUGGACUUUCUUUUAAGUGUUGACUGAUGAUUCCAUUCAUAAAUGAAUUGAGAAACGAAAUCACUUGAAACUUGCAAUAAAGUGAAUAAAGUAGAAGAAAAAGAAUAUUGAUAUAUCAACUUAUCACCAUUUUUAUGAUUAUUAUUUCUUUAGAUAUAAGUCUUCUAAACAAUAUAAUCUUUAUUAUAAAUAUGACAUUACAAAUUCAAUAAAUAAAAGUAAACUUGAUAUUAAAAGUUUUAUUUUACUUUUAUCAAUCAACCCAUUUACUCUAUUUCCUAAAUUUUAGAUUUUAUUUUAUGAUAUAUAUAGUCAAAAUUCAAAAAUAACAUAAAAUUUCAUGGAAUCUAGUUUUUCCAGAUUAGCAACCAUUUAUACUAUUCCUAGCUCAGGAAAUUGGUUCUUCAUUUACAAGUUGAGUCUCAAAAUCAAAGUCCUCCACCUAAUGUAUAUUAUGUUGAUGUGAUAUGUCUCUAAAUUAUUGAGUGGAAAUUUUAUCAUGGAUUCAAUCAUUUUCAAUGCUACAAAAUGACAUAAUAGCAAAACCAAAAACUUAUCCUUAAAACAAAACCAAAACCUUAACUCAAAUAUUACAUAUGAAAUAAAUAAUUAAAACAUAAGGUGUGAAAUCAGGUUAUGAGAAAUAAGAAGAGCAUAAUGAAGAAAACUGUCUCAAAAUUUAUAUUAUACAAGUUAUUAACAAAUCAAAAUUUAUAUAAAUAUAUAAGUUUUAUAUAAUUCCCUGUUGGGUCGAGAAUGCAUUAUUAUCUCUAAUUCCCUAUUAAGUCAAGAAUAGUUCUCAAACACCCUAUUGAGUCAAGAACACAAUGUUAUCUCUAAUUCCCUCUUGGGUCAAGAACAUAUCAUUAGCUCCAAUUCUCAGUUGGGUCAUGAGAGUGUAUUGUUGUGGUAAUACACGUUUUCGAACAUGAAAUCAGCUAAUAAAGGUUAAGGUAUAAAGAUCGUAGUUGCUUGUUUGAAACAUGGUUAAUUAAUGUAGAUACAUUGAGGGUGCUUAUAAAUGAUAAUAAAGAAAAUAUAGUGCAUGAGGGUGGACUAUGAUAACAAAAUGCAUUUGUAAAAUGGUAAUAAUACUAAAUAAAAACAAUAAAUAAUUUACUUAAUAAAAGAUAAAGAUAUCCCAUAAAAGAAUAAGCAAUCAUUCAUUUGGAUGCCAACCAGCUUUGCAAUCAAUCGUAUAAAUUAUUCAUGUAACAAGUGGAGAUAGAUUAGGAUCGUUUAGCUCGAAGGCAUCUAAAGAUUACUGUUCAACUUCAUUUAAGUUAAUUAGUCAUUGUGAAUAAUUAGAUGAGUUUGGCAUGUACAUAGAUUUAAAAUAGAUGUUGGAGUCAUUUGAUGAUGUGGUAUCUAUAAUGUUGAGAAAUUGUAGUCUAGGUAUGUAUAUAUGUAUGUAAUGGUACUUAUAUAGGGUUAAGAUCGUAUGCACUGAUCUUUAUACAAUGUUUAUUACAAGUUUCACGUGUUUUUUGCGUGCCAAGUAAACUAAUUUUGAUGAUUGAAUUUGGAAAGGCUAUUAUUAUGUUGGUGGUCAUAUUGUUGGAUGUGUUUUGACAAGCAUAAAUGGUGUUUGGGACAUGAAUUUUGAGUCCUAUAAGUCUUGAAAAUGAAUUGGUAUAUGUUAUCAAAUCAGGUGAAAUCAGGUGAUUUUAGGGAUUGUUCCAACAAACUUAUUUUGAUAUAAGAGAUCAGAUGUAUCGGUACAACUAAGUCAAUCUCCAAAAUUGAACGAUAACAGGAACUUGUAGCGAUACAACUAGGUCAAUCAAUGUCUCCUCCCUUGUUUUAAGUCAUUUUGAUCCUUGGACACCCUGACUUGGUCCUAAACAACUUUGGUCACCUAGAACUCAUAUUAAAAUGUUCUAAAUGAAUUUAAAUGACUUAUAAACAUUUUUAAUCAAGGCAAAUAGUUUUCUAUGAAUGAGUAAAUGUUUGUGUACAAGUUGAUUUUAGAGUAUGUGCUUUUCUCUCUUUACCUACAUUUAGAGACAGAUUAGUAAAAAUAAACAAGACAGAGGAUAUAUGCCAUGUCCACUGCAAACUACUUCGUAGCUAUUACAAUGAAGAAUAUUUUGCCUUUCAUCCAACUCAAGCAACAUGCAGCAUAAAUUUUCCCUAUACAUAAACAAAACAUACCAUAAAUCAUUUUGCAUAAGCACUAUCCGUUGGUCGAAUGCUGACCAGUCAAGCCCUACCAACUUUUAAUUUGAGUAUUUUUUAAGUAGAUAUGUUUGAGUUAUUUAUAUUUUAUAUAAUUUUUCUCUAUUACAUAAACAAAACAUACCAUAAAUCAUUUUGCAUAAGCACUAUCCGUUGGUCGAGUGUUGACCAGUCAAGCCCUACCAACUUUUAAUUUGAGUAUUUUUUUAAGUAGAUAUGUUUGAAUUAUUUAUAUUUUAUAUAAUUUAUAUUAUUUAUAUUUAGGCGAGUAUUGAUUCACAUGUAUAAUUUAUAUUUUUUUUACUUGACAAGGAACCUUAAAAAAUUGUUAUAUAUUUUUAAUUUUAAUAUUUUACGAUAUCUUUAUAAAAUAUUUGUUAACCUCUGACCCUACUUAUGAAAUCUAAAAUUUUUAUUGAUAGUGUACCAAAUAUUAUUUCUUUAUAUAUUAUAAAAGUAAAAUUUCAUAAAUUUAAGAAAAUCAAAAUUUUAUAUAAUUUUUAAAAAUUCAUUUUGAAUUUGAAAUUAAAACUUUUAAUAUUUAUUUUAAAAUUUUGAUAUAAUAUUUUUAAUUUUUAUAAUUAACAUUGUAGAGAAAUAAAUCUUAGUAAACGUAUUUUUUGAAUUUCUACUCCAAAAAUGUGUCAAUUUUUUUAAAGAAUUAUUUAAAACUUGAUUCAAUUCGAAAAAAUUGAAAAAGAAGAUAAUUUGAAAUAAUUUGACUAAUUGAUUGGUGUAAGCCUAAGUUUGAAAUAAUAUUUUUUAUUAGCAAAAGUUGUAAAUUUAUUUUAGUUCAUUUUAUUACAAUUUAUUUAUAUAUCUUUAAAUAAAAAUAAACAAUUAAAGAAUAAAAAAAUAAAUCAAUAAAAUAAUUUAUUUUAAUACACACCUUAAUGUUAAUGGUAAUAAUACUAAAUAAAAACAAUAAAUAAUUUACUUAAUAAAAGAUAAAGAUAUCCCAUAAAAGAAUAAGCAAUCAUUCAUUUGGAUGCCAACCAGCUUUGCAAUCAACCAAACUUACACAUCACACUUUUUGUUUCAUGUCUAUCCAAAUAUGAAUGCAAUACCACCCUCUUCACUUCUUCUUUUCUCACUCACUGCCCCUUCUACAUCAUGACUUCACCCCCAAUUUCAAUGACAGGGAUGUGGGAAAUGUUGGCCCAAUCUUUGCCUUUCUCCUUUUUACAACGUUUCUCCAGCAAAGGACAGUUCCUAAUGUAAAAAAAAGAGAGGGAGGGAGGGAGCAUGUUUGGGGGCAUGGAUUGGAGCUUGGGACAACUGUCGAUAAGCAAUCUGGAAAGAGAGGUGAGGUGUUGAAACCCCUUAUACUCCAAACUCUUUAGAUUUGGAAGUUGAGAGAGCCAGAGAGUUUCAAGAGAAGAGGGAAGCAGAUGUUCAUCUGGAAAACACUCCAUCUCUACUUCUGAAAAUGAGAUCUCGAGAUCUGUAAGAGAAGGGAGUGUAUGCAAACUCCAUUCCCUUUUCCUAAUCAAGCUCUCAAUUAGUUUAUCACUGCUUCCGAUUGUAAUUCUUUUUAAUUUGGAGGGCAAACCCUCUUUUGGAACCCUCUCUAUUUCUGGACAUACAAGUAUUUUCAAAUCCUCAAGGGAUGGAAAGACAGAGUGCAUUUGCUCUGGCAAUGACUUUAAACUAGGGCAACCCAAAAGCGUAAGCCGGGUCAAAUUGGUUACAGCUAAUCCAUCUUCAAUUUGAAAAGAUUUCAAAUUUUGGCACCACUAUAUUUCCAAAGAAUUGAGACAUGUUAGAUGCUGGUGGUGAGAGCCCUCUAAAGCAGCACUAAAAAACUUCAAGUCUUCACAUCCAGAAAUUUCAACAUGCUUUAGCAUAGGAAACGGUCCUAAUGAGAAAGAUUCCAGUUGAUCACACUUUGUACCUUUUAUCUUCAGAGAUUCAAGGGAUGUAUACAAGAAGAUUUUGGAAUGAUUAAAAGCUUUGCACUGCUCGAUCCUCAGUUUUUUCAGUGUAAUAGACACACUAUCCUCAGGAAGGGAUUUGAUAUUAGAACAACCAGAGAUAAUUAACUCGUCGAGAUGAGUGCAGUGUUUCAACAUCUGUUCCAAUAUGGAAUCAUUCAUACUCGAACCUUUGAUGCCCAACUUUCGAAGCCCACAAGGCAAUGGCUCCAAUUGCAGUGCAUCGCAUCUUUCUAACUCAAGUUCACAAAUGCCUGGUGUCCUUGGGAGAAAACAUUCAAGCUUCUCACAAUUUGCAAUCACCAAUUUCUUUAAAGAGGGGAGGUGUUUGGGUAUUGACUUGAUUAGCUUUGGACAAUCCCUGAUGCGUAGCUCUUGCAGAAGGGAGAAAGCUUCAUCACUCCUACACAACCAUUCUUCCCACCCAGCCAUAUUCUCAAACACUAGGAUUUCAAGAGAUCCAAAUGGUUUAGUCGAAGCUUGUCCAUUACUAUAGAACUCCUCGCCAACUAUUACAACUUUCCUGAACCCAGAAAUGGAGAGAGAUUUCAAAGAUGAUAAUUGGCCAAGCGGAGGCAAAGAUAUGCAAAAUUUACAAUCUUGCAACUCCAAAGAUAUCAUAUUUGAGAAGGACAAAUGCCCCACCCAUUCUGGAAAUCUCCUGCCUUUGUAACUUCCGAUAACUAGAUGCUUCAAGUUUGUAUUAGGCUCCAAUUGUUCCAAUACUUCUCUAUCAUGCUUUGAGUCACCAGCAAUAUCAUAAUAUUCAUCCCAUGUCAACUUCAACUCCUUAAGAUUAACCUUAUCCUUCAAAUUGGCAUCUUUGGCAUCCCUGGCAUUUACAACAUUUUUCAGUCUUGAAAUGGCAAGUCUUCCCCGUAAGUGCUUGAGCUUUCCCAACUCAUUAAUGCUUGAGCCAGUUUGAUCACCUAUAACAAAAUCUGUUAAGAUUCGAAUAUCUUUCAACUUACCCAUCCCUUCUGGCAUCCUAGUUAACUUUGUUCCCCUAAUAUCAAGAUAAAGCAUGUUGAUCAAUCUCCCCAUGUCUCUCGGCAACUCAACAAGGUCACUGCAUACAUGCAAUGUCAAUGCUUGCAAAUUAUACACCGUACACAGAGAAUUUGGCAACCUUGUGAUUGAAGUUUUUGAGAGAUUCAAAUUUCGUAGAUGCUUCAAGUUACUAAUUUCUUUUGGCAAUUCUUUGAUAUUUGUAUACCCAGCCAAAGAAAGCACUCGUAAGCUUGAUUUCAUCAACAAAUCAUGCAUUAGCACAUUGCUAACACUACAAUAGGAAGAAGACUUCACAGUUAGGAAAGCACGCAGACAUUUUGCUUUAGGUAAGCUCUGAAAUUUUUGUCGCACAUCAUAAAAUUCUUGGACAUUGGACAAAUGACGGGUCUUUUCAGUUAUUACACAAGAACCACCACUCCCUUCCAAUCUGCAGAUGAAUUCUCCGGUGACAGAUUUAGCCAAGUCACUAAUUAGAUCAUGCAUGACAAAACAAGAUUUCUCUCCUUUUGAUUGUUGAAAAAAGGACCUCAAUCUCAAAUCUUUGAAGUACUCGUUACCCAGUUCUUCUGGAUUUCCAUUAUCUUUCGAAAGCUGUAAAAGUCCUUCAGCCAUCCAUAAUUGAAUAAGUUCUUCCUUUUCGAAUUCGUAAUCUUUAGGAAAAAUUGAACAAUAAGCAAAACAUCGCUUUAAAUGUGAAGGAAGAUAAUGAUAACUUAAUGCUAGCGCUGGAAGAAUAUUACUUGCAGUAUUUGGUAUGUCCCAAAAAUUGCUAUGCAAGAUUUUGUUCCAUUCAUCAGCGUCUAGUUUACAGCGAAGGAGACCUCCAAGUGUUUUUGCAGCCAAAGGAAGGCCGUUACACCUUUUCACGAUUGCUUCACCAAUUGCCUUGAGAUCCGGAUGCGUACUUGGGGUUGUACCAACGAACGCAUGCUUUGCGAAUAACGUCCAACAAUCAUCAUUAGAUAAGGUCUUCAGAGGAUAAGUUGGAAUAGUCCUCAUAAUGUCGGCAACANNNNNNNNNNNNNNNNNNNNNNNNNNNNNNNNNNNNNNNNNNNNNNNNNNNNNNNNNNNNNNNNNNNNNNNNNNNNNNNNNNNNNNNNNNNNNNNNNNNNUUACAAUCGAAUCACGAGUUCACGGUCAAAUUUGAAAGGAAUGCUGAGCUGCUCCCACACAGCAUAGUUUUCAUUCCAAACAUCAUCCAUAAUGAUUAGAUAUUUCUUUCCCAACAGCUGCUCUUUGAGUUUAAGUUGAAACUGAUUUAAGUUCUGGUUUCCAUCACAGCUACAUUUGGUUUCUUCAAGAAUGGUUUUGGUUACCUUGAGAGCAUCAAAUUUCUCUGAAACACACACCCAUGCUUUGGGGUGAAACCAUUUAUCCACUCUGGGGUCAUUGUAGAUCAAUUGGGCAAGGGUGGUUUUUCCAAGCCCGCCCAUACCCACAAUGGGAAUCACAUCUACCUGAUUUUUAGGCAGAUUUUGAGGAUCCAACAACUUCAUUAUUUCUUCUUUUUCAUCAUCUCUACCACAAACAUCAGACUCGUCCACCAAAGAAGUUGCAGGCGUUCUUUGAAAUGCCUUUUCUCCUUCAGAGUUUUCUUUCAGACCCAGAAUCUGUUUUUGGUUCAGUAGGUUGUCUAGUCUCCCAAGGAUCUCCUCUAGCUUUGACUGCGCCCCAUCUUUGAAAGGAUUCAAAGAAGAGAAAAAGCUACUAACCUGCUUCAUAUUAGUAGUUUGAUAUUCUGAUUCAAUCUUGUUCCGAAGAGCUUCAGUAGAGAUCUCGUCCAGGAGGUCCUCGGCAUCAUAAACAGCAUCUUUGAGCUCAUCGGUCCAACUUUUGACAUUUGGGUUGGCAAUCUGCUUAUUUUCAGCAUCAUCCAACACUGCUUUCACCGACAUCAAGGUUGGCUUGAGUUUGUUCAGCAGCACAGCUUCAAGUUUCUUUCCUUUGAUAAGCCUCAGAACAUCGGCAGAAACAAUCCUAUCAAGCAGCACCUCAAUGGAAGCAGAGAGAAAAGCUUCACCCACCAAAGCCAUGUUUUUUUGUGGGGUUUUUUGGUAAAGAAAGGUUUAAAGGAAGAUGAAAAGGGAAGUAAUAACAAAGAAAGGAAAAGAAGAGUGCUUCAACUAAAGAGAAGACACGGUUGCAAAGAUGAAGGAUUUGAAUUUGAAACAGAGAAAGGAACAGUAGAAGGAUUGGAUGAAAGGGGAAGGCUUUAACUCGCAAAUACUUUAGUUUCAAUAAAGAUGAAGCAGCCUCAUCCAAUUUGUGUAUAAAAUUUCUUUAUUGGAAUGUUUGAAAACAUGAUUUUGGGUUGAAAAUUUUAAAUUUUUUUUAUAACGUAUAAAAAGUAUGGAAAAUUAAUGUAUUACACAAAUGAUGAAAUAAUAUGGAAAACAAUAUAAUAAUAUAAAAAUAUUUUGAAAUUUAUAUUUACAAAUUAAGUAAAAGUAUUAUGGAGCUCUUUCUACUAAAAGUUAGAUUCGUAAUUUAUUUUUUAUUUAAAAAAAAGGGUAAAUUAAUCUCCGUACAUUAAAUUAAGAGUAAAAUAAUUAUUUUGUUAAAAUUUUUAUCCAUUUAAAUUAUUAAAAAUCGGUCCUAGUAUAUCAAUUUUUAACAGUACAAAUGGAUGAAAUUUUUAACAAAAAAGGAUCAAUUGGUUCUUUGAUCUAACGUAUAAGAACUAAUUUACUCAUCUUAUAGUGAAUGAGAUAAAAUAAAAUCUAACUCUUAAUAUAGAGAGCUCCAUAAUAUUUUACCGUGCAAAUUAUAUAUUAACAUAUCAAAGAAAUUUAUAUAAAUAUAAAAAUACGAUACAUAUCCAUAAAUUGUUAGAUCUAAUUAUAAUAGCCAAGUAGUUUAAAAUAAAUAAAUAUCAGAAUAGAGAAAUGAGAUUAAUAUUCACGAAACUAGAUAAAAGGAACAGUAAAUAAUUGGUGCUGCCUAACUAAUUGACGGCACCCUCUUAUUUAAAUUGAUGAUACCUAUAUUUCAAACCAAAAUACGAAUUUAUUUUAAAAGGAUAAUAAAUAAAACGAAAUAAUAAUAAUUUUUUAUUCCCAGAUGGCACCCUAUUAUUUUUAAAAGAAAAAUUGUUUUUUGUACUCUCCUUAUGUAUAUCCAUAAGGAACCCCCAUAAGCCAUAAGCCAUUAAAUGCUUCCAUCGAGUAACCAGUUCAUGACAAAGGACACCCACCGAGGACAGUGUAGCCAUAAAGCCCCAAAGCUCCAACCCACUAUGAAAUAUCCAACGCCAAUGAAGCACCAAUCACACGCCAAUCCAACAUAUUUACGAACACCCAACUCGUCAACACAUUCACCCCUAAAGCACAAAACGAGACAUAGGCUAACACCCUAGUCUUCAACUGGCUUUGCAAGAACCUUUGUAAUGGGAACUGAAACGCAAAGCUAAAGUGCAUAGGUAUCAACCAAAUCGCCACCACCCCCGACAUCUCCCCCACGUCGUCCAGCUGUCCGAAUAGCUUUAAAACCGGGGUAGCAAAUACGUAAAUGGGUAACAACAAAAGAGUAAAACGAUCCAUGAUCUUUGCAUGUAAAGGCCCAACAUGUGGUAUUGUUUAGCACCAAAAGCUUGUCCACAAAGGGUUUCUAAAGCACUCGCCAUUCCUAAUUAUAGUAAAGUGAAAAAAGAAAACUAAUGUUAAGAGACAAAUAUGGUAAAAAGAAAACUAAUGGAACAAAAAAGAAAGCCUGAUCUAAUGAAAAUUUACUAUGAGGCCAAAGUUGAAGCCAACGAUGGCCGUAUUGGCUAUUGAAAUAGCUGCAAGUUGAACAUCACCAAGGUGACCAGCAAAAGCUUGGGUUAUAAUGUUCAUGGAGUAAGAAGCAACAGGAAUGAUGAUUGAAGGUCCUACGAUGACCCAUAGCUUCUUUGUUUUGAUCCAUAGUCUUGUACUUAAGUCCUUCUUCGCCAUCUUCAUCUCUCCAUAUAUUUUCUUCUGGUUUUGAUUCUUCAUGAUUUGAACUUGGUUCUGUUAGUAAAGGUUGAUGGUAUUCGCCACUGUUCCCAUGGAUACUAUCCAUUAGAGACAAAAUUAAAAUAAUAGACUAUGGGCUAUCUUAGAUUUGCUUGGGACAAAAAAUAAUUUAAAAAAUUAAUAAUAAUAGGGUGCGCCAGACAAGUUGCAACCACUAAUAAAAAGAUAAUUUUUUUUCGAUUUAUUCCACAUUGUAAAAACUUUUGUAUUUUGGUUUGAAAUACAGAUGCCGCUAAUUCAUCAGGCUAAUUCAUCAGGCUGCGUCUAAAUAUUUAAAAAAAAAAUAAAGGGGUGCCAUCGAUUGGUAAGCGGUAUCAAUUGUUUACUGUUCUCUUUGUCCGUAAAUAUUAAUCUUCUUAUCUUAUUCUGGUAUUUAUUUAUUUCUUUUAUAUCAUUUAUAUAAAAAUACCCUAUAGUAUCUGAACUUGAUUAGAGGUGCAGGAACAAGAGCAGCACUAGUAACCAAGAAAUACACCAAUACCCAGAUUAGAGGUGAUCUUGGCCUGGCCGGGCUGAGCCUCAAUAGAAUUUUAGGUCCAUUUUUUAGGCAACUUGAAAAUGGACUUAAAAUUUUGCCCAAAUAAAAAUGCUAAUAUCUAAGCCUAGCCCGACCGCCAGUAUUAAAAUUUUUAUAUUAUUAUUUUUAUAUAAAACAAAUUUAAAAAUAUAAUACACUAAAAAUAUUUAAAUAAAUAUUUCUCAACAAAUUAAAAAUAAAUUAAAAAGUAUAUACAUACUUAAAUAACACUAAAAUAGGUGUAAUUUAGCAAGCAAAUGCCUAUAAAAUAAUAGCAAAAUUAACAAUAAAACGAGAGUUAUACAAUAUUCAAAUAAUAUCAAUAAAAUAGUCACAAUAUAAUAGCGAAAUGACAACAAAACAUUGGUAAAAUAGAAUCAGUUAUUUUUUGCAAAUUUAGGCCAGGCAAAAAAAACUUACCCAAAACCUAACUCAUUUAGAAAACAAGUCUCAUUUUUUGCUCAAGCUCAUUUUGUGGAUCUGUAUUUUUCUCAAAUUUUCCCACCUUUUAUACGAGCCUUUAUGCCAGGCCAAAUGACCUAACCCAUAAUCAAAUCUAAGACCAAGUGAGUAAGCAAAUGUAGUUCAGAUAUUUUAGCACAUUAUAAAAAAUUUACUUUUUAAGGCAAUGUUUAAAACAUAAAGUUUACUAUUGAAAUUGAAACAUGUUUAAAAUAAAAAUUAUCGUUUUAUAAAUAAAAGUAUCAUGAAAACCGAUUAAAAUAUUCAUAAAAGUCAAUUUUUUUUUAAAAAAAAGUACCUGAUUAGGCCUGGCACACGGCCGUGUGGCGUUAAUAGUCAUGUUUUUCUGCAUCUAAAAUUCACAAAAACUUGGGUUUUCAGUACGCAGAUGAAGCAAUUUUGAAGCAAGAGCAAUGUAAAAGACUCCCGAAGCCUAAAGCGACCAUUCAAUAACACAAGACCUUAUAACAGAAAAAGAAUACCCAAUUAUGCAUAGAAAACUAUGUCCAAAGUUUUGACACAAAACCUUCAACAAUUCCAGACUUACCAACAAAAUCAACAGUGAUUACUCGAGUUAUUGCACUGAGGAUCGUUGCUUUUGAUAUCCUCGCCUAAAAAGAAACCAAACGGUCCCUUAAAAGAAGGUUUAAACAAUUUGAGUUGGAAACGACUCCGACAAAAACGAAUGAACUACCGUAUAACAAAAGUUCUAUGAUUAACGAAAUUCACACAAUUGAUGUAAUUGGUAGUAAGGACACGCGUACUUACCUGACAAUAGUAGCAAACAAAAUGUGCAGACCAAGCAACAAUUGGAUGAAGAAAAGAAGGAAAAAAGAACAAAAAGAAAUAGAUGAAAAAAAAAAAGAAAGAAGAAAAGGAAAAAAUGGCAAUGGAAAGGAAGAGGGAACGCUUAAUAAUCUAACCAUCGAUCAAAAUUCUGACAUUACGCAAAAACAUUACCUAAUGCAUACGCUGAGACUCAAACACAGGACCAGAAAGUAGACAGAUGCUUAACCAGUGAACCAGCAGGCUCGUUCUUGACUUAAAAAAAUAGAACGUCGAUAAUGACAAUAUAUCAUAAAGAAAAGAAAAAGAAAAAUAAAGAACACAUAGAAUUUUAAGUAGAAACCCUUUUGGGAAAAAAACACAGGUAAAGGAGAAGAUAAUUCACUAUAUCGAAUUCAAAUGACUAUAAGAGGAGUAGACUAUGUCUAUUUAUAGGCUUGUAAAACCAUAUUAUAAUACAAUGAGUGUAGUAAGGUUGAAACACCUUAUUCUAAUCAAUAUCGAAUAUAUGAAGUGUAAUAAGGUUGAAAAAGCUUAUUCUAAAAUAAAAUAAAAGAAGUCAUGUAGUUCUAUAUGGAUUUUACUUUUAUUUUAUUUUACCACUGUAUUUUACUUUAACAAGGAUUCGAGUCACUCAAUUCUAACAAUCUCCACCUUGACACAAAACGAUAACAUAAGUUACUAGAAUGUAACAUUUCAAACAUAAGUGACUAAAAUGUAAUCUGAGGAAAAUAAAAGUGACUAUUUUUGCCGUUUAUCCUAUUAUUAAUUAUUUUUUAUUUAAAAUUUAAUUUAAUUAGAAUUAAAUUAAAAUAUAAUUUUUUUAGCAAAAUUUGAUUAAUAACUUAUCCCUAAUAAUUAUUUUUGAUGUGUGUAUUUAACGUUGAAAACCUUAAUUUUCCCUAUUAAUUACUUUACUAUGAUUUAAGUCGUGAAUACCCCAACGUUAAGUUACAACCAUCAUCUUUUCACCAUCAUAAUUCAUUUGGAUGCCAAUCAACUACAACUUACAGAAAAAGCAAAAUUAAACAUAACUUCCUCAUCUACUUCUACCAAACUUACAAAUCACACUUUUUGUUUCAUGUCUAUCCAAAUAUGACUGCAAUACCACCCUCUGCACUUCUUCUUUUCUCACUCACUGCCCCUUCUAUAUCAUCACUUCACCCCCAAUUUCAAUGACAGGGAUGUGGGAAAUGUUGGCCCAAUCUUUGCCUUUCUCCUUUUUACAACGUUCCUCCAGCAAAGGACAGUUCCUAAUUUCCAAACAAGAAAGAGAGGGAGGGAGCAUGUUUGGGGGCAUGGAUUGGAGCUUGGGACAGCUGCGGAUAUUCAAUUCGCAAAGAGAGGUGAGGUGUUGAAACCCCUUAUACUCCAAACCCUUUAGAUUUGGAAGACCCCAGAUCCAGAGAGUUUCAAGAGAAGAGGGAAGCAGAUGUUCGUCUGGAAAACACUCCAUCCCUACUUCUGAAACCCCGAUAUAGAAAUAUGUAAGAGAAGGGAGUGUAUGCAAACUCCAUUCCCUUUUCCUAAUCAAGCUCUCAAUUAGUUUAUCACUUCCUCCGAUUCUAAUUUCUUUUAAUUUGGAGGGCAAACCCUCUUUUGGAACCCUCUCUAUUUCUGGACAACCAUCUAUUAACAACAACUCGAGGGAAAGAAAGACAGAGUGCAUUUGCUCUGGCAAUGACUUUAGACUUUUGCAACUCCAAAGCUCAAGUCGGGUCAAAUUGGUGACAACUAAUCCAUCUUCAAUUUGAAGAGAUAUCAAAUUUUGGCACCACCAUAUUUCCAAAGAAUUGAGACAUGUUAGAUGCUGGUGGUGAGAGCCCUCUAAAGCUGCACUAAUAAACUUCAAGUCUUCACAUCUAGAAAUAUCAACAUGCUUUAGCAUAGGAAACGAUCCUAAUGGGAAAGAUUCCAGUUGACCAAACUUCGUAUCUUCUAUCUCCAAAGAUUCAAGGGAUGUAUACAAGAAGAUUUUGGAAUGAUCAAAAGCUUUGCACUGCUCGAUCCUCAAUUGUUUCAAUGCAAUAGACACACUACCUUCAAGAAGGGAUUUGAUAUCAAGACAAUUGAGAUAAUUAACUUGUCGAGAUGAGUGCAGUGUUGCAACAUCUGUUCCAAUAUGGAAUCAUUCAUAUUCGAACCUCCAAUUUCCAACUCUCGAAGCCCACAAGGCAAUGGCUCCAAUUGCAAUGCGUUGCAUUUCUUUAACUGAAGUUCACAAAUGCUUGGUGUCCUUGGGAGAAAACAUUCAAGCUUCUCACAAUUUGCAAUCACCAAUUUCUUUAAAGAGGGGAGGUGUUUAGGUAUAGACUUGAUUAGCUUUGGACAACCCCUGAUGCGUAGCUCUUGCAGAAGGGAGAAAACUAGCAAGGUCAUACAAUGUUGAUUUUAAAAAGAUAGUUUGGAAGCUAUUAAAGCUAUCCAAGAUUCAAUUGCAACGCCUUCUCUUGUCCAUUACUGUAGAACUCCUCACCAACCAUUACAACUUCGCUGAACCCAGAAAUGGAGAGAGAUUUCAAAGAUGAUAAUUGGCCAAGCGGAGGCAAAGAUAUGCAAAAUUUACAAUCUUGCAACUCCAAAGAUACCAUAUUUGAGAAGAAAAAAUGCCCCACCCAUUCUGGAAAUCUCGUGCCUUUGUAACUUUCAAUAACUAGAUGCUUCAAGUUUGUAUUAGGCUCCAAUUGUUCCAAUACUUCUCUAUCAUGCUUUGAGUCACCAUCAAUAUCAUCAUAUUCACCCCAUGUCAACUUCAACUCCUUAACAUUAACCUUAUCCUUCAAAUUGGCAUCUUUGGCAUCCCUGGCAUAUACAACAUUUUUCAGUCUUGAAAUGGCAAGUCUUCCCCGUAAAUGCUUGAGCUUUCCCAACUCAUUAAUGCUUGAACCAGUUUGAUCACCUAUAACAAAAUCUGUUAAGAUUCGAAUAUCUUUCAACUUACCCAUCCCUUCUGGCAUCCCAGUUAACUUUGCUCCCCUAAUAUCAAGAUAAAGCAUGUUGAUCAAUCUCCCCAUGUCUCUCGGCAACUCAACAAGGCCACUGCAUCCAUUGAAUGUCAAUGCUUGCAAAUUAUACAAUGUACACAGAGAAUUUGGCAACCUUGUGAUUGAAGUUUUUGAGAGAUUCAAAUUUCGUAGAUGCUUCAAGUUACUAAUUUCUUUUGGCAAUUCUUUGAUAUUGACAUACCCAGCCAAAGAAAGCACUCGUAAGCUUGAUUUCAUCAACAAAUCAUGCAUUAGCACAUUGCUAACAAAGCAAUAGUAAGAACUCACAUUUAGGAAAGCACGCAGACGUUUUGCUUCAGGUAAGUUCUGAAAUUUUUGUCGCACAUCAUAAAAUUCUUGGACAUUGGACAAAUGACGAGUCCUUUCGAUUAUUUCACAAGAAUCACCAUUACCUUCCAAUCUGCAAAUAAACCCUCCAGCGAUAGAUUUAGCCAAAUCACUGAUUAGAUCAUGCAUGACAAAACUAGAUUUCUUUCCAUUCGAUUGCUGAAAAAAUGACCUCAAUCUUAUAUCUUCAAAAUAGUCAUCACCUCGUUCUUCCACAUCACCAUGGUCAUUUGGAAGCUCUAAAAGACCUUCAGCCAUCCAUAACUGAAUUAGUUCUUCCUUCUCAAAUUCGUAAUCUUUAGGGAAAAUUGAACAAUAAACAAAACAUCGCUUUAAAUGUGAAGGAAGAUAAUAAUAACUCAAUUUCAAUGCGGGAAGAAUAUCAUUUGGUAGGUCCCAAAAAUUGCUAUGUAAUAUUUUGUUCCAUUUAGCAGCGUCUAGAUUACAACGCAGAAGACCUCCUAGAGUUUUUGCAGCCAGAGGGAGGCUGUCACAUCUUUUGACAAUUGCUUUACCGAUUGCCAUCAGAUCUGGAUGCAUGCUUGGGAUUGUACCAACGAAUGCAUGCUUUGCAAAUAGCUCCCAACAGUCAUCAUUUGAUAAGGUCUGUAGAGGAUAACUUGGAACAGUCUUCAUAAUGGAGGCAACACUUUCAUGACGUGUUGUUACAAUAAUCUUGCUGUUUUGUGCCCCAAAACUGAAAGGAAUUCUGAGCUCAUCCCAAUCAGCAGACCUUAAGUUCCAAACAUCGUCUAAAACCAAUAGAAAUUUCUUUCCCGACAAUUUGUGACUGAGUUGAAGUUGAAGCUGAUUUAAGCUCUGACUAUCAUCAUAACCACCAGGGAGCUCUUGGAGGAUGGCUUUAGUUACUUUGAAAGGAUCGGAUUCUUCCGAAACACACACCCAUGCUUUGGGCUCAAACCAUUCGGCCACUUUCUGGUCAUUAUAGAUCAAUCGUGCGAGCGUGGUUUUGCCAAGCCCGCCCAUACCCACAAUGGGAAUCACAUCUACCUUAUCAUCAGCGGACAGAUUUUGACGGUGCAGCAACUCCAUUAUAUCUUCUUUUUCACCAUCUCUGCCAUAAACACCAGACUCGUCCACCAAAGAAGAAGUUGCACGUGAUCUCCGAUACUCCUUUUCUGCUCCAGAAAUUCCUUCCAAUUUCAGGGUAUCUUUCUGGCUGACUAUAUAUUCUAGUCUCCCAAGGAUCUCCUCCAGCUUUGACUGCAUCUCAUCUUUGAAAGGAUUGAAACAAGAGAAAAUGCUACUAACCUGCUUCAUAGCAGUGGUUUGAUAUUCGGAUUCGAUCUUGUUCCGAAGAGCUUCGGUAGAGAUCUCGUCCAGGAGGUCCUCGGCAUCAUAAACAGCAUCUUUGAGCUCAUCAAUCCAACUUUUGACAUUUGGGC
rnacentral:lncRNA from 1 species